CCGAAGCAAAAAUAGAUAAAUAGGUGGUAUGAGAAAAGCACCACCUAUAGAAUGGAGGAUGUCUCGUAGAAAAAGUUGCUACUGCCAACUGCGUGGCUUCCCGUUCGUGGGCCUUUCAUUAUUCCAAAUCAGGAAAACACUGAGACGUUUGAAACGAGCGUUAACACUUACUUUAACCUCCGCAGUGCUUGGUAGCAUUGCGACAAGCCAUGCGACAUAUCAAAGAAAACUCAAGAAUUUAGGAAAUGCAGUUACGAACCAUAUGGGAGGGGGAACCAGCUGCAGUAAGAAUAAUGGAAAGUUCCUGCUUAGUGUCUGCUGCAAAGAAGCAUCAAAGUCAGAAUGACAUCAAUUGCAACAUUUUCAUAAUUAUGACACACAUAUUAUUAUCCUGGAAACCAAUGCUCCCCUAUAUCUAAUGAAGGAAUUGGACAAAUUUAUCCAGAAGGGGCCAUUACGCAAGAUGAGAUCAGCAAAUCAUGUAGAGAGCAAGAAUCUCAAUGGAUCAAUGCUUUGAGCUUGCAGAGGCUUCUAAUUGUAUAUUGAUUUUUCAUGCCUUGCUAAUCAUUUUUACUGGUAAAACAAUAUUUCUACGCACAAUCUGAGAACUGUUCAGAGAUUAUUAUACUCUUUGCGGAGAAUUCUGUUCAUAUGCCUAACUUGCAACUCUAUUUUCAUGUAGCUUGUUAUUAUUUACAUACCUUUCAUUUUAUUCAUUCUUACCCACUUAAAAUUUUGUAUCUUGUUGUUGUUUUUUAUCUUUUGUAGCGGCUAUUGCCUCCAAAUCUGGAGCAUCUAAUCUGCCAGCUUCAUCAUUUUGUCUUCAGUUAUUCAUUCUGUAACACAAAGUCUCCAAACCCACAUUACAAAUUAAUCAAAAAUAACGUUUCAGCUUAUAAAAAGAGUAAGGAUGAUAUAUGCAGAAUGAGAGGUCCUUUGGAAAAUGUUGCUAUGCUCUGCAGUAGGGGGCAGCAAAGGAACAUCACUGCAUAAGUGAAAAGACACCAAUAAUAUAUUGGACACCAAAAAUUGUAGGUAUCUCUCUUGAUGCAAAGUAAAUUGCAUAAUAUUCUAUUGCUGUUUUAUGUAUGAAUGAAAUUAUUCAAGACAAUUGUUAUAUAAUGUUAUAUGUUAAAUAUUUCACUUCAUUUCUUUUUGUUUUCUAUGUACAGUAUAUGUGUAUGUAUACAAAAUAUAUAAUAAAGGAAAUGUGAAUAUUGAAAGCUAGGUAAAUUGUGCAUGCUAGAAAAAGUUUGCAUUCUAGUUUAAAAUAAAAUGUACCAUUUAUUUAAUUAAAUUAGGGUAUGUUUGGACCUUGAAAAUUCCACAUUUGCACAAUUAUUAUUUUCUAAGGAUCAAUUAUCAUGUUUCUUUUAUUCUUUUAUUCCAAGCACACACUACCCGAGAGUAUGUUAUAAUUCUGUUAUAAUGGCUCAUAUGGUUAGGUUGCUGGGUUGGAGGUUAGCAAGCUCGUAUUUGAGACUCUUGUGCUGCCAUGGGAUGGGAUGAGUUCACCUCCUUUACUCCAGCUCCUGCUGGCUACAUGAAAAGAGUCCCCAACUGGGCAUCCUCAGGCAACAGUGAUAUCACUGGCCAAUCAUUUCAAUCUGGAAGCCCCUCGGGGCUUCUGACGUGUAUGAUGUGAGUACAUAUAAGGGCCAAAUAUGUUGCUAAAUAAGAUAGGAUUGGUGUUGAGGGACUAUUGAGCUUUAGAAGCAACAAUCUAAUGCCAUAUUUAUACCUGCCUUCCAUGUCCUUCCUCCCUAAAACUGAGAGCAGUUCAGCAUCCAUAUUUAUGUAGAAUCCAACUUCUAUUUUCCUUUCUUUUUAAGACUUCAUUAACUUGGGCAAAUAGCUCUGAAAAAUGCAGUAAAAAUCUUAUUAUAAGAUCUCACUAGAUACUACAGUUAUCAUAAGAGAGUCAUGUUUGACUUAAAUAACACUGUAUUUUUCUAUCAAAAUUUAGGGUCAGAUGUAGGAGGAAAAAUUCAUUUCUGAUGUGAAAUCAAAUUAUUUGUCAGGGGAGAGCAGAAACAAGUAUCCAAUGAACUACUGUAUGAAUUAUAUCCUUUGCUGUGAUUGUUUUUAUUAUUGAAAAAGCAAGAAAUAAAUUUGAUGAAAGCAAACUAUCCUUCAUUUUCUUG